GUGCUCACCUGGGCAGCACUUACACUAAAACCGGAACGACACGGACAAGAUCAUCUCGCUCCCUCUGCAAGGAUGACACACAGAUGCUUGAAGCAUUCCGUAUUUUU